UGAAAUAAAAGCGGGCCACUC
rnacentral:siRNA from 1 species